UUUUCUGAGUCUGCAGAGCUGUGCGGGGGUCUGGAGGGCUCCCUGGAAGUCUCUGGAGUUCUCUGGGUGUCUGUAGGUCGUUAGGGGUUUUUAGAGGUGUCUGUGGUGCUGCAGGUGUCUCAAAAGGCUGUAAAGGUCUUGAAGUGCCUUGCAAAGGUCUCGAGGUGUCUGUAGAGGUCUUUAGAGGUCUGCAGGGGCCUCUUAAAGAUAUGUAGGAGUCUGCAGGGGUCUAUUGACAGGUUGGGUGGGGUCCCUAGAGCUCUCUAGGAGACUGGAGUGGUCUGUAGGUUUCUGUAGGGGUUUGCAAGUUUCUGUAGCAUUCAGUAGGUGUCUGGAGGUUUCUGUUAGGGGUCCGCAGGUGUGUGCAGGCAUCAUUUAAGGCUCUGGAGGGGUCUAUAGAUGUGUGCAGGGGUCUGUUAAAUAUCUGGAGGGGUCUGAAGGGGACUGGGGAGCUCUGUAGGGGUCUGUAUGUGUUUGCAGGCAGCUGCAGGGGUCCGUAGAUGCCUGUAGGGAUUUGCAGGGGUCUUAGUUGUCUGCAGGGGUGGGUCGAGGUUUUAAAUCGUUGCUGUAAAUAGCAUUUAUGGCUUUAGAAGCCUCCUUGCAAUUAUAAUUUAGAUUGUGGGAAAUUUUAUUUUUUGUUAAAAUAGAAAGUAUUUACCCAUAUUUAUUAAAUUUAUUUUGUAGGAUGUUGUGGGUGUUCUUUUCUCUUUUACAGAGAAUGAAGAUUAUGGAGGGGAAACUGAGGUGACUUCAGAGCAGAGAAGUGAUAUUUUGGAGGAAAAAGCUGAACAGGUCUAUUGGGAAGGAAGCAAAAACUCUGGAGGAAAAAUCUGAGAGUUAUAGUCAGAGGCGAGUCCCUUUGGCCAGAGUACCUUGCUCACCUCCCAUUCUCCAGCCCGAUGCGGAUCCUCUUUGCGAUGUGUCUUGCUUCGCGAUUCCAUGCCACGCCUCUUCCACCAUCAGUGUCAGCUGCUGCUGAGGAAGAAGGAUAGACUUAGGCUUCAGUAGCACCUCCUCCUCCAUGCCCGAGGAAAACAGGGACCUCCCCAGAGGCACCAUCCCUAGUCCGAGUGCCUUUGCGCUCAGCUGGCAGCCCGUGUGGGGU